rnacentral:tRNA from 1 species
GGUUGUGGCUCAGUGGUAGAGUGUUCGCCUAGCAUGUGUGAGGCCCUGGGUUUGAUCCUCAGCACCA